rnacentral:misc_RNA from 1 species
AACGCACCUUGCGCUCUUUGGUAUUCCGAAGAGCAUGCCUGUUUGAGUGUCAUUAAAUUCUCAACUAAUACCAUGUUUUCGAACGUGUGUUAUUAGCUUGGACUUUGGAGUGUGCCGGCCAAUCCUACGGUCGGCUCCUCUUUAAAUGCAUUAGCUGGAACCUCUUGUGGACCAGACUAUGGUGUGAUAAUUAUCUACGCUAUGGUUUGUGAAGCACUUUGUUAUGGGGUAUCAGCUUCUAACCGUCUUCGGACAAUCUUAUGACAUUUUGACCUCAAAUCAGGUAGGACUACCCGCUGAACUUAA